rnacentral:rRNA from 1 species
UGAUCCUGGCUCAGAACGAACGCUGGCGGCAGGCUUAACACAUGCAAGUCGAACGCCCCGCAAGGGGAGUGGCAGACGGGUGAGUAACGCGUGGGAAUCUACCCAUCUCUGCGGAAUAGCUCUGGGAAACUGGAAUUAAUACCGCAUACGCCCUACGGGGGAAAGAUUUAUCGGGGAUGGAUGAGCCCGCGUUGGAUUAGCUAGUUGGUGGGGUAAAGGCCUACCAAGGCGACGAUCCAUAGCUGGUCUGAGAGGAUGAUCAGCCACAUUGGGACUGAGACACGGCCCAAACUCCUACGGGAGGCAGCAGUGGGGAAUAUUGGACAAUGGGCGCAAGCCUGAUCCAGCCAUGCCGCGUGAGUGAUGAAGGCCUUAGGGUUGUAAAGCUCUUUCACCG